AGUGGAGCACAAGCUGUACGCAAAGCUAGGAUAUGACGAGGCUAAUGGUCCUUGGAUGCAGGUCAGCCAAAAUCCAGAAAUAACAAGCGGCCCAAAAUACUUUCUCAUGUACUGGAAUGAAGGCGAAGAGUGUGGUAUCCUCAAAGUGACUCUAUCAGGCAAAGAUGAAUACGAAAUGCACAAAUGGGAUGGUAAAGUUGACGAGCAAGCAUCACAGUGCGAAGAAAAAUACAACACUUUAUCUAUUGGAAAAACUUCCCACACCAUUUAUUCAAAUAGCUGCAAGCCUACUGCCCCCGGAAACUGAUGGGAAAGCUUUUACAACAAUCAACCUCUUGGCGAAAACAGAAUCUCAAAAGAAUAUUUGUAGAAUGUAGCAAUAAAACGGAGCAUGUCUUAAAAUC